AUCGCGAAGCAAUUCGCGAAAACAAACCGUAACAACUACCGAUGCCAUAAUUGCACCGAAACAGUAUAAAAAAAAUCGAUACACAACGAAAAAUAAAUCAGUAAAACAUAAAAAUACGUAAAAAAAAAAAAAAGCUAGAUAAAAACAACAAAGAAAGUAUCAAGAAACCAGGCUUCAGUUACGAUAUCUCGCAAUGGUAGGAAACCAAACAGAACUUCUACCUGAUCUCUGCAAAACCCCACCUUUCUUAGCCAUCUGUGAGAAAACCCACAACAGUGAAGGGUUCAUCGAGCAAAAACCCCAACCC
rnacentral:lncRNA from 1 species